rnacentral:rRNA from 1 species
UCCUACGGGAGGCAGCAGUAGGGAAUCUUCCGCAAUGGACGAAAGUCUGACGGAGCAACGCCGCGUGAGUGAUGAAGGCUUUCGGGUCGUAAAACUCUGUUGUUAGGGAAGAACAAGUGCUAGUUGAAUAAGCUGGCACCUUGACGGUACCUAACCAGAAAGCCACGGCUAACUACGUGCCAGCAGCCGCGGUAAUACGUAGGUGGCAAGCGUUAUCCGGAAUUAUUGGGCGUAAAGCGCGCGCAGGUGGUUUCUUAAGUCUGAUGUGAAAGCCCACGGCUCAACCGUGGAGGGUCAUUGGAAACUGGGAGACUUGAGUGCAGAAGAGGAAAGUGGAAUUCCAUGUGUAGCGGUGAAAUGCGUAGAGAUAUGGAGGAACACCAGUGGCGGAGGCGACUUUCUGGUCUGUAACUGACACUGAGGCGCGAAAGCGUGGAGAGCAAACAGGAUUAGAUACCCUGGUAGUCCACGCCGUAAACGAUGAGUGCUAAGUGUUAGAGGGUUUCCGCCCUUUAGUGCUGAAGUUAACGCAUUAAGCACUCCGCCUGGGGAGUACGGCCGCAAGGCUGAAACUCAAAGGAAUUGACGGA